GCAGAAAUAAGCCGGCAGAUGCGAGCUUCUGAGCCGGAUGCAGCUCUUCCCAGACGUCGGCCCCUGACAACUACCCGGGGGUGCGGAGGGAGGAGCGAGGAAAGAGGGGCAGAUCGAGGCUGUCAGAAACAUGAUGCUCAUUUCUGCCACCCUUCCUAGAAAACUAUGGUUCCUGACAGAGACGUGUGGAAAGCUAGCCUCCAGGAAGUUGGGGGCAACAUCCACCAUCUCCUGGUUGAUCUGUGUAACCAACUUUCUCUCUCUCGGAUCACUCACUUUGGGAAAGCCAGCUGCCAUGUUGAGCAAAUCUAGAGAGCCACAUGGCAAAGAAUUGCAGACUGCUGACAACAACUAGCAAGAGACUGACAAUUCUUGCCAGUAGUCAUGUGAGUGAGCCAUCUUAAAAGCCAAUUAUCCAGUCCUUGUCAAGCCUUCAAGUGACUGCAGCACCAGCUGAUAGCUUGACUAAAACCUCAUGCUAGCCUCUGACCCAGGACCACUCAGCUAAGCUGCUCCCCACUCUUGACCCUUAGAAACUCUGUGAGACAGUAAAUGUUUGUUGCUUUAAGCUGCUAAGAUUUGAAGUAAUUUAUUAUACUGCAACAGAUAACUAAUAAAUGUACAUACCUUGCACCAGACAUUGUGCUAGAUGCUAGAAAUGUGUAAGAAAAAACAAGAUAGGUCUUAGCCUCAUGAAGCUUACUCUCUAAAGUUAGGAGAAUGAUAAAUACUUAGUGGUUUGUUGUUGUUUUAUCAUUAUUUUUUGAGCAUGAUAUUAUUAAUUUUCUUUAAGUAAAAGUCCAAAGUGGUAGCUCAUAAGAUAGGGUGAAAAUGGGAAUUCAGAGGUUUGGGCAUGUGAAUUUUAAUGUAAGAUACCACCACCUAACCACUAGAAUGACUUAAAAUUU